rnacentral:rRNA from 1 species
CAGCAGCCGCGGUAAUACGGAGGGUGCAAGCGUUAAUCGGAAUUACUGGGCGUAAAGCGCACGCAGGCGGUCUGUCAAGUCAGAUGUGAAAUCCCCGGGCUUAACCUGGGAACUGCAUUUGAAACUGGCAGGCUAGAGUCUUGUAGAGGGGGGUAGAAUUCCAGGUGUAGCGGUGAAAUGCGUAGAGAUCUGGAGGAAUACCGGUGGCGAAGGCGGCCCCCUGGACAAAGACUGACGCUUAGGUGCGAAAGCGUGGGGAGCAAACAGGAUUAGAUACCCUGUAGUCCCUGUCUCUUAUACA